rnacentral:piRNA from 1 species
UAAACUCCAGAUAUGGGCUGGGCAGACCUC